ensembl:lncRNA
AAACUCCACACCAGGAAUGAAACCUUUUUUUAAAGCAGACUGUAAAACUGUCCUUUCAGGAAGUUGAAGUGAGAGUCUGUGGGGAUCAACUCAUUUUUGAUGUGGCUCCAUUUUUUGUUUUUUCUUCUGUGUUGAAUUUUUUUCUUCAUCCUGGAACUUUUUGUGCACCAGAAGUGGGCAAAUAUGCAAAAUAAUGAUGCAACCAAACAGACUAAACAACCAAUCACUGCAUAUAACAUCAUUUGGGAUUAUCCAAUCUAACUCCAAACCU